rnacentral:misc_RNA from 1 species
GUGAAUCAUCAAAUUUUUGAACGCAAAUUGCGCUUCCUGGUAUCCCGGGAAGUAUGCCUGUUUGAGGGUCAGUAUUAACAAAAAAUCGGUUUGGUUGCAAAUCGUGACGUUUCCGGAGUUUGUGAUUAUCUUAACUUUUGUGGUUAAGGGGUUAAAAAUUGACCUUUUUUGUGCAUUUUUAGACGUACAUAAUUUUUUUUUUUUUGGUCUAUUUUUACUGCUAAAUUCGUUUU